rnacentral:rRNA from 1 species
AAGCGCCGGUAAGGUGAUAUGAACCGUUAUAACCGGCGAUACCCGAAUGGGGAAACCCAGUGUGACUCGUCACACUAUCAUUAACUGAAUCCAUAGGUUAAUGAGGCGAACCGGGGGAACUGAAACAUCUAAGUACCCCGAGGAAAAGAAAUCAACCGAGAUUCCCCCAGUAGCGGCGAGCGAACGGGGAGGAGCCCAGAGCCUGAAUCAGCAUGUGUGUUAGUGGAAGCGUCUGGAAAGGCGCGCGAUACAGGGUGACAGCCCCGUACACAAAAGCGCAUGUGCUGUGAGCUCGAUGAGUAGGGCGGGACACGUGGUAUCCUGUCUGAAUAUGGGGGGACCAUCCUCCAAGGCUAAAUACUCCUGACUGACCGAUAGUGAACCAGUACCGUGAGGGAAAGGCGAAAAGAACCCCGGCGAGGGGAGUGAAAAAGAACCUGAAACCGUGUACGUACAAGCAGUGGGAG